AACUCUUCUGUUCAAUCCUAAGGUUCUGACAUUAAUGCACGAAACUGAUUUGGUGCGGUAGUAACUCGAUAAUUAUAUCCUUAAACCUCCACAGUUCUCUGUCUUUGGUUCAGUUGAUUCUGGAUGGAUUUAGCAUUGAUACAAUUCACUGUGUAAUUGUAUAUCCCUGAAUCACUGAGUUAGAUUGAAAUCCCUUGAAGAUUCGUC
rnacentral:lncRNA from 1 species